ACCAGCAAGAUGGAAAGAACCAUGCACAAUCCCCUGGAUGUGAGGAGAGUGAUGCUGGCAAGGAGGAAUUAAUGAAGAUGAGACUUCCUACUCGCUCAGACAUGAUAUGUGGCUAUGCUUGCCUUAAAGGGAGGGUAGAAGAUGGAAUAGAAGUCUGACUUUGUGAGACUUGCCCAUGACCUUCACACCCCUGGUUGUAGGCAAUGCUGCCAUGCGGAAUACCAAACGGGGUUCCUGGUACAUUGAGGCCCUCACUCAGGUGUUCUCUGAGAGAGCUUGUGACAUGCACGUGGCCGACAUGCUUGUUAAGGGAUAUGAGAUUCUCCCAAGCUUGUUUCCUGUCAGCCAUCUCCGUCUUUGGGGGUGAAACUUGAGGACAGCUCCUCUGGUGUGGUGUUCUCUUCCUGUAGAGCCAGCUAUGAAUGGAUCUGUUGCCAGAAGCAUUUUGGCUAUAGCCAAUGAGACUAGAAAAUGACAUUGUGAACACAGUAUUAUUGUGGGGAGAGGGCAUACGGAUUUCUCAAUGUUUGUGAUAUUUUUGUUCCCAGGGCUCUUAGGGAUACUUUGAUUAUUGCUUUUUUAUAUCAGUUAAGGACUUUCAGAUAUCAUCUCCUACUUUUUUUUUCAUAUCUGCAACCUCAUUUUUUCCAUAGUGAAGAUUUGGAAAAUGUCCCAAUUUAAUGCAGUUGUUGUCAUCUGUCAUGAAGCGGCAGGUGAGACCCUGCUACUUGAGCAGAAGUUUCAGACCUUUGAGUUCAGGCCUUAGGUGAAGGACAGUCCCUCAGCCUUUCCAUUGGUUUCUUUGUGUUCAUUGUACCCAGCUUUUGAGCAGAGCCUGGGGUCUGCUUGCUGUGACACUGGAAGUUAUAUACGUUUCCCUGGUUAUGAAUUGUCACUGAAAUGAACCUUAUUGGGCAUAUCAACAUAAAAAUGCAGUGACAGGUGAGUGUGCUGUGUCUCAUACUGUCACUUGUCACCAGGAUAUCUCUCCUUCCUUACUGUGGUUUCUGCUGUGCAGUUAAACUACUUGAUGGCUGACCUCCAAGAACCCUCUUGCUUUGCAUUGGUUCCCCUCCUUGACCCAUUCACUGCUUCUGCCACGUCUGUGAAAUCUUCCUUUGUAGAAUGUUUCUGGCCACUUAAGCAGUACUGCUUCAGCAUAAGGUUUCUUCGGUUUUCUGCGGCAGUGUCUCCAUUCUCACUGUUUCUCUGUUUUAGUGAGGAUAGUACUAUAGGUGAUAUAACCUAGAAGCACUUAUCUCUGCUCUUAUGAAACUUUCUUAUUCUUAAAAACCUUUUGCAUUUCCAUUUUUUUCCUCUUUUCCAGUUUAUUCUCCACAUGACAGAGUAGUUUUGUUUUUUUUUUAAUAUCUGGUGAUGUCACUCCCUUGUUAAGAACAUUAGCUUCCUGUUACACCUCAUCUAAAAUUCAAAUUCUUACCCAGUUUAUGAGAUCCGGCUUUUACGUUCCCUUUGGAUCUCAUUAGAUGGUGAUUUCUCUCUGUGUUCAGCCCCUCAGUUCCUCAGCUCAGUGUUGCAAGUGUUCUGACCUAUGGUAGUUGAGGUGCUCAAUUAAUGUUUGUCGUAUGAACCAGGUGGUUUGAAGACUUGCUGCCAAAUUCUGCCUUUGGGUCAGUAUAGGAUGCAUGAGUGGUAGACUCUUCACACUUCCCACUGCCAAGAUUUUGUAUUGCCAUCAGGUGCCAAAUAAAUGUCGAUACUUACUACUGA
rnacentral:lncRNA from 1 species